rnacentral:tRNA from 1 species
GGACCAUUAGCUCAGUCGGCAGAGCACUUGACUUUUAAUCAAGGUGUCCGGGGUUCGAAUCCCCGAUGGUUCACCA